rnacentral:tRNA from 1 species
GGAUUAUGGCUCAGCGGUAGAGCACUCGCCUACCAUGCGUGGGGCCCUGGGUUCGAUCCUCAGCACCA